ensembl:lncRNA
GAACUAUGUGAAUUUCCAUUUUGAACCCUGCAGGAAUCAACCAAGCACAACUGUGCUGGUAACUUGUAAAUUCCUGCACCUGGAAUGUCCAGGUCUGAAGACACCACACUUCCAGCUUUGCUCUAUUUGAACAACCGUGUGGCUCAGACCAUGAACUCCUUACUGCCAAAUUCAGACUUAAAUUGAAGAAAGUAGGGAAAAACCACGAGACCAUUCAGAGAUGGACAGCCUACCCCCAGCCAAGGACAGAGAUGAAAGCGGCGCCCAGCAGCCCAGUCAGAUGGAUGGAGUGGCCUGAUUUCCCGAGGCAGCUUCGUGCUGAGUGCCCAUCACUGGGAGUGAGUCAGACAUACAGCUCAAGGUCUGCAGUAACAGAGUCAGGGAGACAAGGCAUAUACCACAAACUCAUGAAAAGUAACAGUACAGAAAGUAAGUAACGAUACAAGGGAGGCAGUAUGUUAUUAAUUGUCAGAGAACACAAGGUAGGAAGUCUGGGGCCCUGGAGAGCCUAGCAGAGUUGCCUCAGCACUGGAAUACUUUGUGCAAGAAGCAGGAACUGGAUAGGUGGGGGGAGGGUGCUGGGUACAGGCAGCUGAUGAACAAAGAUGGAAUGCAGGGAUCAACGGGCAAGUGGCGGUUAGGGUAGAGCUGGGUGCAGGCAGUGCCAAGGGAUUGGUGGGCACAGGUCCUCCAGGCCACCUGGGAGUAGUGGGAAGAAUUGGGAAAGUUGGGCAGGAGCUGGACAGGGAGGAAACAGACUGCUGGGUCUGGCUUCCCUCUGGUGUCUAACCAUGAGCUUCUGAAGGCUUUUCCGUAGGAAAAGUUAUGAAACCCGGUGUUACAUUCUCAAGAUCACAGGACUUCUCAUCACAAAUUGUUCAUAUUAUUCUGUUAGAAACCAGUUCCAGUGCUGGUGAGUACUCUGAAUUUUUGUUUCUUAAAGAGUAUCAAAGUUCAUGAUUAUUUUAUUGUCAGUACACAUCCUCUCUAUUGUGAAGGGCACACAGGAAGCCUUGUUUUUGUUUCUCCAGUGAAGUAAUGAAGGGCAGACUGGCUCUGCUGACAUGGGCAAGUUAGUCAAUCUCUCUGCCUCCUAGGAGUAAUACACAGGGCAGUCAGAGCUUCUGUCAGUCAGAGGUGUAUCGUGAGGAUGGCCCGAGCCAGUAUCGAGACAGUCCUUAGAGACGUACCUGGCAUGCAGAGAGCUGCAGGAGGGUUUACUGACCGAAUCACAGACAAUUCUGAUAGCACUUUCCCCUGUCAGGACAGCUCAGAUAGAAACACUGGAAGUUUCAGGCCUUAUUCGAAUCUUUUCUUCUAGAAAGAGGGUUUUCAAGAGGGGUAGCCCCAGAGCCCCCUCAGAAUGGAGGGUUUGAGCUGGAAGAGGCUUAUGAGAGCAGCCAGUGCGGGGCCCCUUUUGCAGGUGAGGAAACUGAGAAUGUGGCCUCGUGGAGCAGCAGCCUCUGAACGGCUCCCUGGCUGUCUCUCCCCUCAUGCAGGGGCCUCCUCCCACCUCUGGGCUGCUGCCCUUGAUCUUUGCCCAGAGGUCACGUCCCUCAGGCCUCAGGUCAGAGGUGUGCGCCCCCCCCACCCUCCUGCCUGCCUCUUCGUCCCCUCACUCUGCUCUCUGUACUGCUCCCUGGCUGUGCCUGUAAGUGCUCGUGCGUGCACUGUGGCUCCUCCAUAAGCCUCACCAGGCAGGGGGCCUGUGGUCCUGCUCUCUUCCGGCACUUGUGUCCGGCAUGGACACAGCCCCUGGAUGAAAGAACAAAGCUUUGGAAGCCCUGGUUCGGGUAUGUCUCCUUCACAUCUCUUCCUUCCGCGGCUCAAUGUAAAGAGCAGCAAUGCGGCCAGACCCUGAGAGCAUCUCCUGGGUGCUGCUCCUCCAUCUCAAUGGGUGUUCUUUCACAUCUCAAUGGUCCUUCUUUCACACAGGCUGGAACGUGGCAGCCGGGGCCUGCUUACUGUUCUCUGUCCAACCCUGUCCUGUGCCUGGUACCCAGCAGGUGUUCACCGAGCACUUGGAAUGGAUGGUGCAAGCCCCCUCUGAUGUGGAGCCAGUGUCUGUAAUCGCUUUACUUCUCAGAACCAUGCGGUAGUUAGCAUUUCCACUUGCCGGGCACUGUCCAUCUUUUCAUCAAGGAGGUUUAUGUCUACAUAGUAGGGAUAUCCUUGAGACACAUCAGUGCAAUGGGACAAGCUCACCCUCUUUUUACCGUCUGGCUUGGGUUCCCUGCGUGAGGUGGAUACUCU